UGGGGAAUAUUGCACAAUGGGCGCAAGCCUGAUGCAGCCAUGCCGCGUGUGUGAAGAAGGCCUUCGGGUUGUAAAGCACUUUCAGCGGGGAGGAAGGCGAUAAGGUUAAUAACCUUGUCGAUUGACGUUACCCGCAGAAGAAGCACCGGCUAACUCCGUGCCAGCAGCCGCGGUAAUACGGAGGGUGCAAGCGUUAAUCGGAAUUACUGGGCGUAAAGCGCACGCAGGCGGUCUGUCAAGUCGGAUGUGAAAUCCCCGGGCUUAACCUGGGAACUGCAUUCGAAACUGGCAGGCUAGAGUCUUGUAGAGGGGGGUAGAAUUCCAGGUGUAGCGGUGAAAUGCGUAGAGAUCUGGAGGAAUACCGGUGGCGAAGGCGGCCCCCUGGACAAAGACUGACGCUCAGGUGCCAAAGCGUGGGGAGCAAACAGG
rnacentral:rRNA from 1 species